UACGUAGGGUGCAAGCGUUGUCCGGAAUUAUUGGGCGUAAAGGGCUCGUAGGCGGUCCAUCGCGUCGGGAGUGAAAAGCUGGGGCUUAACCCCAGUCCUGCUUCCGAUACGGGUGGACUAGAGGUAGGCAGGGGAGAACGGAAUUCCUGGUGUAGCGGUGAAAUGCGCAGAUAUCAGGAGGAACACCGGUGGCGAAGGCGACUACCUGGCCUGUUCUUGACGCUGAGGCGCGAAAGCUAGGGGAGCAAACGGG
rnacentral:rRNA from 1 species